rnacentral:pre_miRNA from 1 species
GAUGUACUCCCUUCGUUUGGAAUUACUUGUCUCGAAAAUGGAUGUAUCUAGAAUUAAAAUACGUCUAGAUACAUCCACUUCUACGACAAGUAAUUCUGAACGGAGGGAGUACAAA